CCCCUCUAGAAACAAUAUCACACAUACAUCGUCACGUAUAUUGGGGUGCUCUUGCCCGGAGUCAAUAUACGGGAUGUAUGGAGGACUAAC
rnacentral:sRNA from 1 species